rnacentral:rRNA from 2 species
CAUGCAAGUCGAGCGAACAGAUGAGAAGCUUGCUUCUCUGAUGUUAGCGGCGGACGGGUGAGUAACACGUGGGUAACCUACCUAUAAGACUGGGAUAACUCCGGGAAACCGGGGCUAAUACCGGAUAAUAUAUUGAACCGCAUGGUUCAAUGUUGAAAGACGGUUUCGGCUGUCACUUAUAGAUGGACCCGCGCCGUAUUAGCUAGUUGGUAAGGUAACGGCUUACCAAGGCAACGAUACGUAGCCGACCUGAGAGGGUGAUCGGCCACACUGGAACUGAGACACGGUCCAGACUCCUACGGGAGGCAGCAGUAGGGAAUCUUCCGCAAUGGGCGAAAGCCUGACGGAGCAACGCCGCGUGAGUGAUGAAGGUCUUAGGAUCGUAAAACUCUGUUGUUAGGGAAGAACAAAUUUGUUAGUAACUGAACAAGUCUUGACGGUACCUAACCAGAAAGCCACGGCUAA